UAUAUUUUAAUUAUAUAUAUACUAAGUGUAUAACCUGAGUUUAGUUAAAAUUGGAACAAUAUUGUUGGCCUACAAAAACAAACUCAAUAGGCAAAAAAAAAAAGGCAAAAUUCUACUAAACUUACACUUUCUCCCUCUCUUUCUUUCACAGAGCUCUAAAUCUCUAAUCUCUUUCUCUUUCUCUCUCUCUCUCUUUUUCUCUAUCUCUCACCCCAA
rnacentral:lncRNA from 1 species